rnacentral:lncRNA from 1 species
GAAUUACUGGAUGUUGGAAAAGUUUAUGCUUUUGGUUUUGAUCCAAGAGGCAUAAAUUGUCAACAUGCCAACAUGGAAAUCAUACACUCCACACAUUCUACCCAGACUACCCAGCUGUAAGCAGAGAGGUGUAGAUCCAAGUCUCCUGCCGGCAGGGUGAUUUAGCGCAGUUGUCAAUAAUCUGUACAACACGUAACAAUAAAGUUAUUGAUGUUGAGGAAAAGACUUCCG